rnacentral:rRNA from 1 species
UACGUAGGGGGCAAGCGUUGUCCGGAAUCAUUGGGCGUAAAGCGCGUGUAGGCGGCCCGGUAAGUCCGCUGUGAAAGUCCAGGGCUCAACCCUGGGAUGCCGGUGGAUACUGUCGGGCUCGAGUCCGGAAGAGGCGAGUGGAAUUCCUGGUGUAGCGGUGAAAUGCGCAGAUAUCAGGAGGAACACCGAUGGCGAAGGCAGCUAGCUGGGACGUGACUGACGCUGAGGCGCGAAAGCGUGGGGAGCGAACAGG